AUCUUUGCGCUUGUGGCAAUGACGUAGCUAGUAAAGUUUUAAUUCGAAGCGCGUCUAUUAAUGGUUGAAAACUAUUUUUAGACCUCCAUAGCCUAGGGUUCUAAAAGGACUCCCUUAUGCAUGAAGUUUUGAAAGAAAAAUUGUCAU